AAUCUGCCUUUUGGUUCGGAAUAACUCGGGGAAACUUGAGCUAAUACCGGAUAAGCCCUUACGGGGAAAGAUUUAUCGCCGAAAGAUGAGCCCGCACUUGAUUAGCUUGUUGGUGAGGUAAAAGCUCACCAAGGCAACAAUCAAUAGCUGUUCUUAGAGGAAGACCAGACACAUUGGGACUGAGACACGGCCCAGACUCCUACGGGAGGCAGCAGUGGGGAAUCUUGCACAAUGGGGGAAACCCUGAUGCAGCGAUGCCGCGUGAGUGAUGAAGGCCUUUGGGUUGUAAAACUCUUUCGUCGGGGAAGAAAAUGACUGUACCCGAAUAAGAAGGUCCGGCUAACUUCGUGCCAGCAGCCGCGGUAAUACGAAGGGACCUAGCGU
rnacentral:rRNA from 1 species